rnacentral:rRNA from 1 species
UCGAGAGGCUUCGGCAAUGGGGGAAACCCUGACCAAGCGACGCCGCGUGGAGGAUGAAGGCCCUUGGGUCGUAAACUCCUUUUGUCGGGGAAGAAAUGCGAUCAGGUGAACAAUCUGGUCGUUUGACGGUACCCGACGAAUAAGCUCCGGCUAACUCCGUGCCAGCAGCCGCGGUAACACGGGGGGAGCAAGCGUUGUUCGGAAUCACUGGGCGUAAAGGGCGUGUAGGCGGUCAAGUAAGUGGGAUGUGAAAUGCCCCGGCUCACCCGGGGACCGGCAUCCCAAACUGCAGGGCUUGAGUAUGGGAGAGGAUGAGGGAAUUCCUGGUGUAGCGGUGAAAUGCGUAGAUAUCAGGAGGAACACCGGUGGCGAAGGCGCUCAUCUGGCCCAAUACUGACGCUGAGGCGCGAAAGCUAGGGGAGCAAACGGGAUUAGAUACCCGCGUAGUCC